UACGUAGGGUGCGAGCGUUAAUCGGAAUUACUGGGCGUAAAGCGUGCGCAGGCGGUUUUGUAAGCCAGAUGUGAAAUCCCCGGGCUUAACCUGGGAAUGGCAUUUGGGACUGCAAGGCUGGAGUGUGGCAGAGGAGACUGGAAUUCCUGGUGUAGCAGUGAAAUGCGUAGAUAUCAGGAGGAAUACCGAUGGCGAAGGCAGGUCUCUGGGCUGACACUGACGCUCAUGCACGAAAGCGUGGGGAGCAA
rnacentral:rRNA from 1 species